AUUUUAAUAAUUAUUUUGCCUUUAACAUUGUGAAAAUAUUUUAUUAGAAUUAUACUUACGAUGGAAGAUUUUUUAUCUGUCUGGAAUUGAACAAUCUUACACCAUUGUGCCCUGGCACUUAUCACUACAGGUACAACCUGAGCAGAUGCCACAGUCAUUUGCAGACAACUUUCAUGCUCUCCACUAUGCUAUGGCCUGGGAAAGCAGUAGAGGAUGGCCCAAGUCCUUGGGCUCCUACACCCACAUGGCAGACCUGGAAGAAGCUCCUGGCUCUUGGCUUCAGAUCAGCGCAGCUCUGGCUGGAAUGGCCAUCUGUGGAGUGAACCAUGGGACGGAAGAUCU